UAUGACCCAGCAAUUCCUCUUCUGGAUAUAUAUCUGAAAAAAAAAACACUAAUUCAAGAAGAUACAUGCACCCCAAUGUUCAUAGCAGCGUUAUUUACAAUUGCCAAGGUAUAGAAGCAAUCUAAGCGUCCAUCAACAAAUGGAUAGAGAUGUGGUAUAUAUUCACAAUGGAAUACUACCCAGCCAUAAAAAGAAUGAAAAUCUGCCAUUUGCAGCAACAUGGAUGGACUUGGAGGGCAUUAUGCUAAGUGAAAUAAGUCAGAGAAAGACAAAUACUGUAUGAUAUCACUUAUAUGUGGAAUCUAAAAAAUACCUCAAACUAGUGAACAAAAAGAAGAAAAGAAGCCGACUCACAGAUAUAGAGAACAAACUAGUGGUAACCAGUGGGGAAAGGAAUGGGAGGAGGGGCAGUAUAGGGGUAGGGAGGACAAAAGGGUUUUUAUGAGAUUACAUUAAGUCAUGUGUGUGAAAUUUUUGAAAAUUGUAAAACACCACAGAAUUUAAAGAACCUUUUUAUUCAAUAAAAAUCAACUAAAAAAGAAACAAGUCUUGUGAAUAUCAGUUAUUAUAUCUACAUAAUUAUUAAUAUCUAUCAAGUUUUCCAAUUUUUUUGGACUACAAUACUUUAUCUUUCUGUACACAAUUGUUGUUGAUCAUUUUCAAACCUUGUUAAUAUAAAUAACCCUAUAGAAAUGUACUUUUUUCACUCUAGUUUAUCUCAUUAACAUGAGAUAUAUAGAUGGAUUGCUGGACUUAAACAUAUGCUUAUUUUAAAUAAGGAUGUAACAUACUCUCUACAAAAGUUAUGUAUGGUUUAUUUAUCACCAAAAUUGAUUAGGGAUUAAUAGCACAUCAAAAUUAAGAUACAAUGGAUAUUAUUUUAAUAAAAACUUGCUAGUGUCAGUUUUAAGGCCAAUAUGACAUAUUUUAUAACAUUUUUAUUUGUCGUAAGCUAGACAGUUUUUAUGUACACAUUCAUUCAUUUUUUAUUCCUCUUUUAUUAAAUCUCCAUUUCUAUCCUUAGCUCAUUCUUUUUACAUUGAUGUAUUCAUAUGUAUAUUAUUUUAAAAAUUAAGUUCAGUAUUUUGUUUCUCAUAGUUGGAACAAAAAUUUUCCACUUAAUUUGCUUUAACGUUGCUCAAGGGGAUAUUGAUAUAGGAGCUUUACUAUUUUCAUAGGUAAGUUUAUUCAUUAUUUACUUUGUUUUCUACUUGGAUGUCAUGCACCCACACACGGAUUAUAAAAGCCUUCUUUUAUAUUUUAUAAAUAUAUUGGUAGUCUAUGUUUCUUUUGUUAUUUUUCUUAUUAUGGUUAAAAUACAUAUUAUAAUGUUUACCAUUUUAACCAUUUUUAAGUGUUCAGCUCAGUAGGACUAAGCAAUUCACACUAUCACUAUCCAUCUCCAGACCCUCUGUAUCAUCCAAAACUGAAACUAUGUACUUAUCAAACAGUGACUCCCCUUCACCCCAGCCUCUGCUCCCGUAAGCCCCUGGUAACCACAUUCUACUUUCUGUCUCUGAAUUUGACUGUUCUGAGUACCUUAUAUAAGUGAAAUCAUACAAUAUUUGAUAUUUUGUGUCUGGCUUAUUUCAUUUAGCAUAAUAUUUUCAGGGUUUCCAUGUGGUAGCAUGUAUUAAAAUUGUACUCCUUUUUAAAGCUGAAUAAUAUUUCAUAAUAUGUGUAAACUACAUUUUGUUUAUGCACUCAUCUAUUGUGUACAUGUGUUUUUUUCCACCACCUUUGGCUACUGUAAUGUUGCUAUGAACAUUGGUGUACAAAUAUCCAUUUAAAUUCUUGCCUUCAGUUCUUUUGGGUAUAUACCUUAAAGUGGGAUUGUUGGAUUACAGGGUAAUUCUAUGUCAGAAUUUUCGAGGAACCACCAUAUUGUUUUCCACAGCAGCUGCACCGUUUUACAUUCCUACCAGCAAUGCACAAGAGUUCUAAUUUCUCCACAUCCUCACCAACACUUGUCAUUAUCUUUUUUCUUUUAUAAUAGUAGCCAUCAUAAUGCAUGUGAAGUGGUAUCUAAUUGUGGUUUUGAUUUGCAUUUCCCCAAUAAUGAAUGAUAUUGAUCAUCUUUUCAUGUUCUUUUUGGCCAUUUGUAUAUUUUCAUGGAAGAAAUAUCUAUUCAUUUGCUCACUUAAGAAUGGGGUUGUUUUCUAUUGUUGAGUUGUAGAAAUUCUUUAUAUAUUUUGGAUAUUAAUUUCCUGUCAGAUAAAUAAUUUGAAAAUCUUUUUCCCUUUCUGAGGGUUGCCUUUUUACUACAUUUAUAUUUACCUUUGAUGCACAAAAGUAUUUAAUUUUGAUGAAGUCCAAUUGAUUUAUUUUUUCUGUGCUUGCAGUAUCAUGUCCAAGAAAUUGUUGCCAAAUCCAGUGUCAUGAAGAUUCCCCUAUAUGUUUUAUUUUAAGAGUUUUAUAGUAUUAACUCUUACUUUUAAAUCUUUGAUCCAUUUUGAGUUAAUUUUUGAUUAUGGUGUGAGGUACGUGUCCAAAUUCAUUCUUCUGCAUGUAGGUGUCUCGUUUUCCCAGCACCAUUUGUUGAAGAGACUGUUCUUUCCCCCAUUGAAUGGUCUUAGCCCCCUUGUCAAAAUCAAUUGACAGUCCAUGUGUGAGUUUUUAUGGACUCUGAAUUCUGUUCCAUUGAUCUGUAUGCCUGUCUUUAUGUCAGCAACACAGUUUUUUAUUAUGAUACCUUUGUGUAGGCCCCCGCCUGAAGGCUCUAGAGAAUAAGCCGUGGGCUGAACUGAUAAACAAGCUGUGAGGAAUGUCAUCAUGUAUCCAGUAUAGAUGGCUGGAUAGUCAAUGACGGGAAGGAGAGACAUCUACUUACCUGGGACAUGGUUUUUGAACUGCCAGUCCUCCUCAGAAACUCAGUCCAGAGAAGCCAGAGCUGAGGGAGGAAGAAGAAGCCUUGAGACGCAACAUAUCUCAGAACUCCAAAAAUUAUUUAAGGGUUGAGAGUGCGCCGUACAACCCAAGCUUCAACAACCUUAUUGGCCCCAAGGUGGACCUGGACUCUGCCAGACAAAAGGCAGACAACAGUAGAGACCAACCUGGAAGCCUUGACCACUAUAAAUGAAACUGCCUGUCCAUGUGAAGCCUGAACUUGACUCCCACGAUCCUCUGGGCUGACCAACCUGGACUUCCCCAUCAGGGUCCACUGUGCUUGCUGAUACGAAUCAUUGCCUGUGACCCCUCUCCCCUGCUCCCAACCCACCCACUACCCACAAGGGUGGAGUGGAUUCAUGCUCACUGAAGCUGUAUGGCAACACAUAGAUUUUUGUAACCUUCUGUGUGAUAGAUGCUCUAUGCACAUUAACAUGUAAUCCUGAAAUGUACUGAUAAUCAGUUCAAUAGAUAAGGAAAUAGAAGCUCAAAGAAGUAAAGAUAUUUUUCCAUGUCACAAA